rnacentral:rRNA from 1 species
GGUCAAGUUAUUAAGGGUGCAGGGCGGAUGCCUUGGCACUAGGAGCCGAUGAAGGACGUGAUAAGCUGCGAUAAGCUUCGGGGAGUUGCACGUAAACUUUGAUCCGAAGAUUUCCGAAUGAGGAAACUCACUUAGAGUAAUGUCUAAGUAUCAUUAAGUGAAUACAUAGCUUAAUGAGGGGAACUCAGGGAACUGAAACAUCUAAGUACCUGAAGGAAGAGAAAGAAAUUCGAUUCCGUAAGUAGCGGCGAGCGAACGCGGAUUAGCCCAAACCAAUAAAGUUUUCUUUAUUGGGGUUGCGGACAUAUCAUAACGAAGAGGUAUCGUAAUUGAAGAGGUUUGGAAAGACCCACCACAGAAGGUAAUAGUCCUGUAUGUUAAACGAGAAGACUUUAGAUAUGAUCCAAAGUACCACGGGACACGUGAAACCCUGUGGGAAGCAGGAGGGACCACCCUCCAAGGCUAAAUACUACCUAGUGACCGAUAGCGUAUAGUACCGUGAGGGAAAGGUGAAAAGAACCCCGGGAGGGGAGUGAAAUAGAACCUGAAACCCUGCACUUACAAGCUGUGGAAGCACAUUUCUUGUGUGACCGCGUACUUUUUGUAGAACGGGCCAACGAGUUACGUUAAGUAGCAAGGUUAAGCACUUAAGGUGUGGAGCCGUAGCGAAAGCGAGUUUUAACUGAGCGUUCAGUUACUUGACGUAGACCCGAAACCGGGCGACCUACCCAUGAGCAGGAUGAAGCGAAAGUAAAAUUUCGUGGAGGUCCGAACCCACGAGCG